rnacentral:rRNA from 1 species
GACGAACGCUGGCGGCGUGCUUAACACAUGCAAGUCGAACGGAAAGGCCCUGCUUUUGUGGGGUGCUCGAGUGGCGAACGGGUGAGUAACACGUGAGUAACCUGCCCUUGACUUUGGGAUAACUUCAGGAAACUGGGGCUAAUACCGGAUAGGAGCUCCUGCUGCAUGGUGGGGGCUGGAAAGUUUCGGCGGUUGGGGAUGGACUCGCGGCUUAUCAGCUUGUUGGAGGGGUAGUGGCUUACCAAGGCUUUGACAGGUAGCCGGCCUGAGAGGGUGACCGGCCACAUUGGGACUGAGAUACGGCCCAGACUCCUACGGGAGGCAGCAGUGGGGAAUAUUGCACUAUGGGCGGAAGCCUGAUGCAGCAACGCCGCGUGCGGGAUGACGGCCUUCGGGUUGUAUUCCGCUUUCGCCUGUGACGAAGCGUGAGUGACGGUAAUGGGUAAAGAAGCACCGGCUAACUCCGUG